rnacentral:rRNA from 1 species
UUAAGCAUAUCAAUAAGCGGAGGAAAAGAAACCAACAGGGAUUACCUCAGUAACGGCGAGUGAAGCGGUAACAGCUCAAAUUUGAAAGCUAGCUCUUUUAGGGUUCGCAUUGUAAUUUGUAGAAGAUGCUUCGGGUGUGGCCCCGGUCUAAGUUCCUUGGAACAGGACGUCAUAGAGGGUGAGAAUCCCGUAUGUGACUGGGUGCUUUCGCUCAUGUGAAGCUCUUUCGACGAGUCGAGUUGUUUGGGAAUGCAGCUCAAAAUGGGUGGUAAAUUUCAUCUAAAGCUAAAUAUUGGCCAGAGACCGAUAGCGCACAAGUAGAGUGAUCGAAAGAUGAAAAGCACUUUGGAAAGAGAGUUAAACAGUACGUGAAAUUGUUGAAAGGGAAGCGCUUGCAACCAGACUUGCGCGCUGAUGAUCAUCCGGGCUUCUGCCCGGUGCACUCGUCUGCGCUCAGGCCAGCAUCGGUUUCGGUGGUGGGAUAAAGGCCUUGGGAAUGUAGCUCCUCUCGGGGAGUGUUAUAGCCCUCGGUGCAAUGCCGCCUACCGGGACCGAGGACCGCGCUUCGGCUAGGAUGCUGGCGUAAUGGUUGUAAGCGACCCGUCUUGAAACACGGACCAAGGAGUCUAACAUCUAUGCGAGUGUUUGGGUGUCAAACCCAUACGCGUAAUGAAAGUGAACGGAGGUGAGAACCCUUAAGGGUGCAUCAUCGACCGAUCCUGAUGUCUUCGGAUGGAUUUGAGUAAGAGCAUAGCUGUUGGGACCCGAAAGAUGGUGAACUAUGCGUGAAUAGGGUGAAGCCAGAGGAAACUCUGGUGGAGGCUCGCAGCGGUUCUGACGUGCAAAUCGAUCGUCAAAUUUGCGUAUAGGGGCGAAAGACUAAUCGAACCAUCUAGUAGCUGGUUCCUGCC